rnacentral:rRNA from 1 species
UACGGAGGGUGCAAGCGUUAUCCGGAUUCACUGGGUUUAAAGGGUGCGUAGGUGGGAAUGUAAGUCAGUGGUGAAAUCUCCGUGCUUAACACGGAAACUGCCAUUGAUACUAUAUUUCUUGAAUUUUCUGGAGGUCAGCGGAAUAUGUCAUGUAGCGGUGAAAUGCUUAGACAUGACAUAGAACACCAAUUGCGAAGGCAGCUGACUACAGGGAUAUUGACACUGAUGCACGAAAGCGUGGGGAUCAAACAGG